AUUGAACGCUGGCGGAAUGCUUUACACAUGCAAGUCGAACGGCAGCACGGACUUCGGUCUGGUGGCGAGUGGCGAACGGGUGAGUAAUACAUCGGAACGUGCCCAGUCGUGGGGGAUAACGUAGCGAAAGCUACGCUAAUACCGCAUACGAUCUAAGGAUGAAAGCGGGGGAUCGCAAGACCUCGCGCGAUUGGAGCGGCCGAUGUCAGAUUAGGUAGUUGGUAGGGUAAAGGCCUACCAAGCCGACGAUCUGUAGCUGGUCUGAGAGGAUGAUCAGCCACACUGGGACUGAGACACGGCCCAGACUCCUACGGGAGGCAGCAGUGGGGAAUUUUGGACAAUGGGCGCAAGCCUGAUCCAGCCAUUCCGCGUGCAGGAUGAAGGCCUUCGGGUUGUAAACUGCUUUUGUACAGAACGAAAAGGCUCUGGUUAAUACCCGGGGCUCAUGACGGUACUGUAAGAAUAAGCACCGGCUAACUACGUGCCAGCCGCCGCCGUAAGAC
rnacentral:rRNA from 1 species